rnacentral:tRNA from 1 species
UGAUUAGACUUUCAUGAAGAUUUUUAAACUUGCAAUUUACUAUUUUUAUUAAAAUACCUAACC